AGAGUUUGAUCAUGGCUCAGGAUGAACGCUAGCGGGAGGCCUAACACAUGCAAGCCGAGCGGUAUUGUUUCUUCGGAAAUGAGAGAGCGGCGUACGGGUGCGGAACACGUGUGCAACCUGCCUUUAUCUGGGGGAUAGCCUUUCGAAAGGAAGAUUAAUACUCCAUAAUAUAUUGAACGGCAUCGUUUAAUAUUGAAAGCUCCGGCGGAUAGAGAUGGGCACGCGCAAGAUUAGCUAGUUGGUGAGGUAACGGCUCACCAAGGCAAUGAUCUUUAGGGGGCCUGAGAGGGUGAUCCCCCACACUGGUACUGAGACACGGACCAGACUCCUACGGGAGGCAGCAGUGAGGAAUAUUGGUCAAUGGGUGCAAGCCUGAACCAGCCAUCCCGCGUGAAGGACGACUGCCCUAUGGGUUGUAAACUUCUUUUGUAUAGGGAUAAACCUACCCUCGUGAGGGUAGCUGAAGGUACUAUACGAAUAAGCACCGGCUAACUCCGUG
rnacentral:rRNA from 1 species